GGGCUGGAUAGAAUGUCGCACAAUAGGACCUCAAACUACACAGUCUGAAUUCAUUUCCCUCAAUGUUCUGUUUUCUCCGCUGGUAACAUCCCUGACAUACAGGGACGGAAUCAUCACUUGUGACGCAGAUGCCAAUCCACUCAGACACAUCGAAUAUUACAUCAUUCUAAAUGGCACCAAGCCUAACGCGCCUACUGGUAAAACCCUGGGGUUUAAUGUUGAUGACAAUUACUGCACAGAGGUCAGCUGUAAUGUCACAAAUACGAUUGGAACUGGGUCACAGAAACUUGAAGAACCGCUUUGCCCAGGUUUUGCUCGUGUAUCGCUACCAACAACAGACGGAUUAAUUCAAAGCACCAGUACCACAGAC